rnacentral:rRNA from 1 species
AUUGAACGCUGGCGGCAUGCCUUACACAUGCAAGUCGAGCGGUAACAGAUCUUCGGAUGCUGACGAGUGGCGAACGGGUGAGUAAUACAUCGGAACGUGCCUAGUAGUGGGGGAUAACUACUCGAAAGAGUGGCUAAUACCGCAUGAGAUCUACGGAUGACAGCAGGGGAUCGCAAGACCUUGUGCUACUAGAGCGGCCGAUGGCAGAUUAGGUAGUUGGUGGGAUAAAAGCUUACCAAGCCGACGAUCUGUAGCUGGUCUGAGAGGACGAUCAGCCACACUGGGACUGAGACACGGCCCAGACUCCUACGGGAGGCAGCAGUGGGGAAUUUUGGACAAUGGGCGCAAGCCUGAUCCAGCAAUGCCGCGUGCAGGAUGAAGGCCUUCGGGUUGUAAACUGCUUUUGUACGGAACGAAAAGCCCUGGGUUAAUACCCUGGGGUCAUGACGGUACCGUAAGAAUAAGCACCGGCUAACUACGUGCCAGCCGCCGCGGUAACAC